UGUGGAUCUUCAGUUACUUCAGGCCAUCUGGAUGUAUACGUGCAGGUCAUAGGGGAUAUGAUGGCUUAGCCUGGGCUCAGAGGCCUGAUAUCCAUGAACUUAAAUGGGGGAAAAAAGUUACAUCUUUAUUUUCACUAACCUCUUAACUGAAAUUUAAAAUGUGUUUCAAUUAAGCAUUUACGGCCGGGCACAGUGUCUCAUGCCUGUAAUCCCAACACUUUGAGAGGCCAAGGCAGGGGCGGAUCACCUGAGAUGUGGAGUUCGAGACCAGCCUGGCCAACAUCGUGAAACCAGCUAACAAAAAAUUAGCUGGGCGUGGUGGCAGGCGCCUGUAAUCCCAACCACUCAGGAGGCUGAGGCGGGAGAAUCGCUUGAACCUGGGAGGCGGAGGUUGCGGUGAGCCGUCACGCCACUGCACUCCAGCCUGGGUGAGAAGAGCGAAACUCCGUCUCAAAAAAAAAAAAAAAAAAAAAGGAAUUUAGGCAACAGCCAGGACGGGGUGUUUACAACUAAUUGAUUACAACCAGUCACAGAUUUCUUUGUUUCUUCUCCACUCCCACUGCUUCCCUUAACUAGCCUUUAUUUCUUUUUCUGCUUUUUUUAGAUGGAGUCUCGCUGUCUCACCCAGGCAAUCUUGGCUCACUGCAACCUCCACCUCCCAGGUUCAAGCAGUUCUCCUGCCUCAGCUUCCCGAGUAGCUAGGAUUACAGGCGUGAGCCACCACACCCAGCUAAUUUUUUGUAUUUUUAGUAGAGACAGGUUUCACCACACUGGCCAGGUUGGUCUCAAACUCCUGGCCUCAAACGAUCUGCCCACUUCAGCCCCGAAAAGUGCUGGGAUUACAGGCGUGAGCCACCACGCCCAGCCGACUAGACUUUAAAAAACAAAACCAAAACAAAGAAUUUAGGCAAUGAACCAAGUAUUAUAGUACUGGCCAGAACCUGUUGCUUACUCAACCAAAUAAUAUCGUAGUUUUUUUUUGUAAUACUUCAUAGUUGCUGCAGAUAUCAUAAAAUAUAUACAGUCGUCAUUAUUUUCAAAUUACAGUAGUUCUUCUACCUAUGGAGGUUAACAUGUUACUAAGAAGCACACGUGUUACAAAUUUUCUCUUUUAAAAUAACUGUAUUUCAAUAUAAUUGGUUUCUUUAGUGAUUCUAUUUAUUUUAUGUCACGCAUGGAAAAAUAUUUCUCUGAGCUUUACUGGACUAGUCUACAAACACGUGGCACAACAAAGGUUUCACUAUGUUGUUCAGGCUGCUAAUUUUUUAUUGUGUAGAGACAAGGUCUCCCUACAUUGCCCAGGGUGGUCUGGAACUCCUGGGCUCAAGUGAUCCACCCACCUUGGCCUCCCAAUGUAUUUCAAUCCCUGUUCUACAAAUAACCCCACAAAAAAGGAGCAAAGGACAUGAACAGGCACUUCUCAAAAGAAGACAUCCAUGCAGCCAGCAAUCAUACGAAAAAAAAAAUUCUCAUUAUCACUAAUCACCAUCUCACUAAACCACAGUGAAAUAGUUUCUCACACCAGUCAAUAUGGCUAUUAUUAAAAAGUCAAAUAAUAACAGAUGCUGGCAAGGCUGCAAAGAAUAAAGAAUGCUCAUACUCUGUUGGUGAGAAUAUAAAUUCGUUCAGCCACUGUGGAAAGCAGUUUGGAGAUUUUCAAAUAAUUUAGAACUACCAUUCAACCCAGCAAUCCCAUUACUGGGUAUGUGCCCAAAAGAAAAUAAAUCAUUCUACCAAAAAAAAGACACAGGCACUCACUCAUAUGUUUAUUGCAGCACUACUCACAUUAGCAGAGACAUGGAAUCAACCUAGGUGUCAAUCAAUGAUGGAUUGGAUAAAGGAAAUGUGGUACAUGUACACCAUGGAAUACUUUGCAGCAACACAGAUGCAGCUGGAGCCAUUAUCCUAAGUGACACAAGAACAGAAAACCAAAUACCAGCAGGGAGUGGUGGCUCACGCCUGUAAUCCCAGCAGUUUGAGAGGCUGAAGUGGGCAGAUCAUUUGAGGCCGGGAGUUCAAGAUCAGCCUGGAUACCAUGACAAAACCCUGUCUCUACAAAAAAACACACACACACACACACAAAGUAGCCAGGCGUGGUUGUGUGCACCUAUAGUCCUAGCUACUCAGGAGGCUGAGGUGGGAGGAUUGCUUGAACCUGGGAGGUCAAGGCUGCAGUGAGCCAUGAUUGCACCACUGCACUCUCCAGCCUGGGUGGCAGAGUGAGGCCCUGUCUCAGAAAACCACACACACACACACACACACACACACACACACACACACACACAAACCACAUGUUCUCACUUAUAAGUGGAAGCUAUACAUGGGGUACUCGUGGACAUAAAGAUGAGAACAAUAGACACCAGAGACUACUGGGCAGGGGAAGAAUGGGGGAAGUAGGGGGGAGGGGAUGGGUUUUAAAAACUACCUACUGGAUACUGUGCUCACUAUCUGUAUGAAUGACGGGAUCAUUUGCACCCCAAACCUCAGCAUCACACAAUAUAUCCAUGUAACAAACCUGCCCAUGUGCCUCCAUAUCUAAAAUAAAAAUUGAAAAUAUU
rnacentral:lncRNA from 10 species